UGGGAACGGGCAGACACUCGUGGAGGCGUC
rnacentral:piRNA from 1 species